rnacentral:rRNA from 1 species
UACGAAGGGGGCUAGCGUUGUUCGGAUUUACUGGGCGUAAAGCGCACGUAGGCGGAUUGGUCAGUUAGGGGUGAAAUCCCAGAGCUCAACUCUGGAACUGCCUUUAAUACUGCCGGACUAGAGUCCGGAAGAGGCAAGUGGAAUUCCCGGUGUAGCGGUGAAAUGCGCAGAUAUCGGGAGGAACACCAAUGGCGAAGGCAGCUUGCUGGGACGGUACUGACGCUGAGACGCGAAAGCGUGGGGAGCAAACAGG